GCAUGCCUUACACAUGCAAGUCGAACGGCAGCACGGGUGCUUGCACCUGGUGGCGAGUGGCGAACGGGUGAGUAAUACAUCGGAACAUGUCCUGUAGUGGGGGAUAGCCCGGCGAAAGCCGGAUUAAUACCGCAUACGAUCCACGGAUGAAAGCGGGGGACCUUCGGGCCUCGCGCUAUAGGGUUGGCCGAUGGCUGAUUAGCUAGUUGGUGGGGUAAAGGCCUACCAAGGCGACGAUCAGUAGCUGGUCUGAGAGGACGACCAGCCACACUGGGACUGAGACACGGCCCAGACUCCUACGGGAGGCAGCAGUGGGGAAUUUUGGACAAUGGGCGAAAGCCUGAUCCAGCAAUGCCGCGUGUGUGAAGAAGGCCUUCGGGUUGUAAAGCACUUUUGUCCGGAAAGAAAUCCUUGGCUCUAAUACAGUCGGGGGAUGACGGUACCGGAAGAAUCAGCACCGGCUAACUACGUGCCAGCAGCCGCGG
rnacentral:rRNA from 1 species